AUGAAUAAACUUGACUUUGUGGUCACUUUUCUAAUCCUGUUCUUUAACUGGACAGGUACUGAAGGUCAAACACUGACUGAGUCUGAAUCAGUGGUUAAAAGACCUGGAGAAUCCCACAAACUGAUCUGCACAUAUUCAGAAUUUAGUAGUGAUUACUGGAACGCUUGGAUCAGACAAGCAGCUGGAAAAGGACUGGAAUGGAUCGCUACUAUCAGCUCUGACAGCAGAAACAUCUACUACUCAGAGUCAGUGAAAAACCGCUUCACCAUCUCCAGAGACAACAGCAGAGAGCAGGUGUAUCUGCAGAUGAACAGUCUGAGAGCUGAGGAUUCUGCUGUUUAUUACUGCGCUCGAGACACACAGUGA